CCUACGGGAGGCUGCAGUGGGGAAUAUUGCUCAAUGGGCGAAACCCUGAAGCAGCAACGCAGCGUGCAGGAUGAAGGUUUUCGGAUUGUAAACUCCUUUUGUGAGAGAAGAUACUGACGGUAUCUAACGAAUAAGCACCGGCUAACUCCGUGCCAGCAGCCGCGGUAAUACGGAGGGUGCAAGCGUUACUCGGAAUCACUGGGCGUAAAGAGCGCGUAGGCGGGAUAGCAAGUCAGAUGUGAAAUCCUAUGGCUUAACCAUAGAACUGCAUUUGAAACUGCUAUUCUAGAGUAUGGGAGAGGUAGGUGGAAUUCUUGGUGUAGGGGUAAAAUCCGUAGAGAUCAAGAGGAAUACUCAUUGCGAAGGCGACCUGCUGGAACAUAACUGACGCUGAUGCGCGAAAGCGUGGGGAGCAAACAGGAUUAGAUACCCGGGUAGUC
rnacentral:rRNA from 1 species